GACGAACGCUGGCGGCGUGCCUAAUACAUGCAAGUAGAACGCUGAAGCUUGGUGCUUGCACCGAGCGGAUGAGUUGCGAACGGGUGAGUAACGCGUAGGUAACCUGCCUGGUAGCGGGGGAUAACUAUUGGAAACGAUAGCUAAUACCGCAUAAGAGUAGAUGUUGCAUGACAUUUGCUUAAAAGGUGCAAUUGCAUCACUACCAGAUGGACCUGCGUUGUAUUAGCUAGUUGGUGAGGUAACGGCUCACCAAGGCAACGAUACAUAGCCGACCUGAGAGGGUGGUCGGCCACACUGGGACCUGGACACGGCCCAGACUCCCACGGGAGGCAGCCGUAGGGAAUCUUCGGCAAUGGGCGGAAGUCUGACCGAGCAACGCCGCGUGAGUGAAGAAGGUUUUCGGAUCGUAAAGCUCUGUUGUAAGAGAAGAACGAGUGUGAGAGUGGAAAGUUCACACUGUGACGGUAUCUUACCAGAAAGGGACGGCUAACUACGUG
rnacentral:rRNA from 1 species